UACGUAGGGUCCGAGCGUUGUCCGGAGUUACUGGGCGUAAAGCGCGCGCAGGCGGCGGUGCUGGCCCGGCGUGAAAGCCCCCGGCUCAACUGGGGAGGGUCAUUCGAUACUGAUCGACUCGAAGGCAGGAGAGGGUAGUGGAAUUCCCGGUGUAGUGGUGAAAUGCGUAGAUAUCGGGAGGAACACCAGUGGCGAAGGCGACUACCUGGCCUGUUCUUGACGCUGAGGCGCGAAAGCUAGGGGAGCAAACGGGG
rnacentral:rRNA from 1 species